rnacentral:rRNA from 1 species
CAAUAGCGUAUAUUAAAGUUGUUGCAGUUAAAAAGCUCGUAGUUGGAUUUCGGGACGGGCCAGUUGGUCCGCCGCAAGGUGUGUUACUGACUGGUCUGUUCUUCUUCGCAAAGACUGCGUGUGCUCUUCGUUGAGUGUGCGUAGGAUUUACGACGUUUACUUUGAAAAAAUUAGAGUGUUCAAAGUAGGCUAUCGCUUGAAUACAUGAGCAUGGAAUAAUGGAAUAGGACUUUGGUCCUAUUUUGUUGGUUUCUAGGACCGAAGUAAUGAUUAAGAGGGACAAUUGGGGGCAUCCGUAUUUCGUUGUCAGAGGUGAAAUUCUUGGAUUUACGAAAGACGAACAACUGCGAAAGCACUUGCCAAGAGUGUUUUCAUUAA